CUUUUCGUUUUACAAGAAUCACAUUAUAGUUUAAAAGCAUGAGCCCGAUCACAUGCACAUCCGAAGUGAGUAUGUAAACGAUAUAAGCAUGAAAAUCAUGUCCUCAAUUGAACACUAGGUCGUAAAAAUGGAUAAUUCAUUGAGAUAAUUUCACUCGUCGUUUUUAUGUACAAAGUAUAAAUUUGCUUGAAAGCGCUUAUUAUCGUAAGGUAAAUGAAACUUAAUAAA